GCACUAAUGGGGUAGUGGUAACCUUGGUCGUUGCCAAUCGAGCAUUAUCGACCAGCCAGGGGUUCAAUUCCCCUUUAGUGCA
rfam:Sphaerobolus stellatus SS14 unplaced genomic scaffold SPHSTscaffold_108, whole genome shotgun sequence.